GCUCCGAUCGCUCAGUUGGUCAAAGCUCCGGUCUUAUAGCUCAUCUCCAAAGAAAAGAUGCCACUAUGCCGGCGCCCUCGGUUCGUGUCCGAGUCGGAGCA